CUGGGGGUGGCGCGAGAGGCGCGCCUUUCUGUGAUGCAGGUGCUGGGAGCGCAGAAUGUUUCUAACCGCUAUUACCGGGUGCAUCCCCGGCGCAACGACCGCUUCUUGCAGGCGCAACCAGCGCUAAAGACGCUGUUCCCGGA
rnacentral:tRNA from 1 species